GCAAUGGCACGAAAGCUACAGGAUGUAUUUGAGUUCCGUUAUGCCAAGAUGCCAGAUGAACCACUAGAACCAGGGCCUUUACCAGUCUCUACUGCCAUGCCCCCUGGCUUGGCCAAAUCGUCUUCAGAGUCCUCCAGUGAGGAAAGUAGCAGUGAGAGCUCCUCUGAGGAAGAGGAGGAGGAAGAUGAGGACGAGGAGGAAGAAGACAGUGAAAGCUCAGACUCAGAGGAAGAAAGGGCUCAUCGCUUAGCAGAACUACAGGAACAGCUUCGGGCAGUACAUGAACAACUGGCUGCUCUGUCCCAGGGUCCAAUAUCCAAGCCCAAGAGGAAAAGAGAGAAAAAAGAGAAAAAGAAGAAACGGAAGGCAGAGAAGCAUCGAGGCCGAGCUGGGGCCGAAGAAGAUGACAAGGGGCCUCGGGCACCCCGCCCACCUCAACCUAAGAAGUCCAAGAAAGCAAGUGGCAGUGGGGGUGGCAGUGCUGCUUUAGGCCCUUCUGGCUUUGGACCUUCUGGAGGAAGUGGCACCAAGUGAGUUAGAGUAGGAAGCAGAGACUAGUUUGGCUAUUUCUGUGUCUCUGGGGGAUGCCAUCUCUCUUUGCAAAGAUACUUCUAAAUGGCCAGUUAACAGAUACAAUAGGCUUUGAGCAGUGGUCCCCAACCUUUUUGGCACCAGGGACCAGUUUCGUGGAAGACAUUUUACCACGGACAGGGUUUGAGGGGAUGGUUUUUGGGAUGAAACUGUUCCACCUCAGAUCAUUGGGCCAUUGGAUUCCCAUAAGGAGCAUGCAGCCUGGAUAUCUACCACGCGCACUUCACAGUAGGGUUCAUGCUUCUAUGAGAAUCUAAUGCUUCUGCUGAUCUGACAGGCAGUGAUGCCCACAUGCCAGCUGUUCACCUCCUGCGUAGCCCAGUAACAGGCCACGGACUGGUACUGGUCUG
rnacentral:sRNA from 1 species